UAAACUGUGAAACUCAGGUGAAAAUGAAGAGUCUGGUUGGAUACUUUGGGCUCAUCUUGGCUUUUCUCUUCAGCUGCACAGGACAGGCUGAGGGACAGCGGACAGGAGGUCGAGGAACAGACUGCACACAGAUCAAGACUCGCUCACCACAAGCAUCCAGUGGAGUUUAUGCAGUCCAGCCUCCUGGAGUCAAGAAGCCAUU